rnacentral:rRNA from 1 species
AUACGGAGGGUCCAAGCGUUAUCCGGAAUCAUUGGGUUUAAAGGGUUCGUAGGCGGGUCAAUAAGUCAGAGGUGAAAUCUUGCAGCUUAACUGUAAAAUUGCCUUUGAAACUGUUGACCUUGAAUUACUGUGAAGUGGUUAGAAUAUGUAGUGUAGCGGUGAAAUGCUUAGAGAUUACAUAGAAUACCGAUUGCGAAGGCAGAUCACUAACAGUAUAUUGACGCUGAUGAACGAAAGCGUGGGUAGCGAACGGGAUUAGAAACCCCGAGUAGUCC